rnacentral:rRNA from 1 species
CCUGGCUCAGGAUGAACGCUAGCUACAGGCUUAACACAUGCAAGUCGAGGGGCAGCAUGGUCUUAGCUUGCUAAGGCCGAUGGCGACCGGCGCACGGGUGAGUAACACGUAUCCAACCUGCCGUCUACUCUUGGACAGCCUUCUGAAAGGAAGAUUAAUACAAGAUGGCAUCAUGAGUCCGCAUGUUCACAUGAUUAAAGGUAUUCCGGUAGACGAUGGGGAUGCGUUCCAUUAGAUAGUAGGCGGGGUAACGGCCCACCUAGUCUUCGAUGGAUAGGGGUUCUGAGAGGAAGGUCCCCCACAUUGGAACUGAGACACGGUCCAAACUCCUACGGGAGGCAGCAGUGAGGAAUAUUGGUCAAUGGGCGAGAGCCUGAACCAGCCAAGUAGCGUGAAGGAUGACUGCCCUAUGGGUUGUAAACUUCUUUUAUAAAGGAAUAAAGUCGGGUAUGGAUACCCGUUUGCAUGUACUUUAUGAAUAAGGAUCGGCUAACUCCGUGCCAGCAGCCGCGGUAAUACGGAGGAUCCGAGCGUUAUCCGGAUUUAUUGGGUUUAAAGGGAGCGUAGAUGGAUGUUUAAGUCAGUUGUGAAAGUUUGCGGCUCAACCGUAAAAUUGCAGUUGAUACUGGAUAUCUUGAGUGCAGUUGAGGCAGGCGGAAUUCGUGGUGUAGCGGUGAAAUGCUUAGAUAUCACGAAGAACUCCGAUUGCGAAGGCAGCCUGCUAAGCUGCAACUGACAUUGAGGCUCGAAAGUGUGGGUAUCAAACAGGAUUAGAUACCCUGGUAGUCCACACGGUAAACGAUGAAUACUCGCUGUUUGCGAUAUACUGCAAGCGGCCAAGCGAAAGCGUUAAGUAUUCCACCUGGGGAGUACGCCGGCAACGGUGAAACUCAAAGGAGUUGACGGGGGCCCGCACAAGCGGAGGAACAUGUGGUUUAAUUCGAUGAUACGCGAGGAACCUUACCCGGGCUUAAAUUGCAGAUGAAUUACGGUGAAAGCCGUAAGCCGCAAGGCAUCUGUGAAGGUGCUGCAUGGUUGUCGUCAGCUCGUGCCGUGAGGUGUCGGCUUAAGUGCCAUAACGAGCGCAACCCUUGUUGUCAGUUACUAACAGGUUCCGCUGAGGACUCUGACAAGACUGCCAUCGUAAGAUGUGAGGAAGGUGGGGAUGACGUCAAAUCAGCACGGCCCUUACGUCCGGGGCUACACACGUGUUACAAUGGGGGGUACAGAGGGCCGCUACCACGCGAGUGGAUGCCAAUCCCCAAAACCUCUCUCAGUUCGGAUUGAAGUCUGCAACCCGACUUCAUGAAGCUGGAUUCGCUAGUAAUCGCGCAUCAGCCACGGCGCGGUGAAUACGUUCCCGGGCCUUGUACACAC